rnacentral:rRNA from 1 species
AUGGCGCUGCCGAACCAGAACACCGUCGAUUACCCCAGCUUCAAGCUCGUCAUCGUCGGCGAUGGCGGGACUGGCAAAACCACAUUUGUGAAGAGGCAUCUCACUGGAGAGUUUGAGAAGAAAUACGAACCCACCAUUGGUGUUGAAGUUCACCCGUUGGAUUUCACCACUAACUGUGGAAAGAUCCGUUUCUACUGCUGGGACACUGCUGGGCAAGAGAAGUUUGGUGGCCUUAGGGAUGGAUACUAUAUCCAUGGUCAGUGUGCGAUUAUCAUGUUUGAUGUCACUUCAAGGCUGACCUACAAGAAUGUUCCUACGUGGCACAGGGACUUGUGCAGGGUUUGUGAGAACAUCCCCAUUGUGCUGUGUGGCAACAAGGUUGAUGUGAAGAACAGGCAGGUUAAGGCCAAGCAGGUGACAUUCCACAGGAAGAAGAACCUCCAGUACUAUGAAAUCUCUGCCAAGAGCAACUACAACUUUGAGAAGCCCUUCCUUUACCUUGCUAGGAAGCUGGCUGGUGAUCCCAACAUCCACUUCGUCGAAGCAGUGGCCCUUAAGCCUCCGGAAGUGACCUUCGACUUGGCCAUGCAGCAACAGCACGAGGCUGAGCUUGCGGCUGCAGCGGCACAGCCACUGCCUGAUGACGAUGACGAUCUGAUCGAGUAG